rnacentral:rRNA from 1 species
CCUACGGGAGGCUGCAGUGGGGGAUAUUGCACAAUGGGGGGAACCCUGAUGCAGCGACGCCGCGUGUGGGAAGAAGGUCUUCUGGAUUGUAAACCCCUGUCCCCAGGGACGAAAAUGACGGUACCUGGGGAGGAAGCUCCGGCUAACUACGUGCCAGCAGCCGCGGGAAUACGGAGGGAGCAAGCGUUGUCCGGAAUUACUGGGUGUAAGGGGAGCGUAGGCGGGGAUGCAAGUUGGGGGUCAAAACGAUCGGCUCAACCGAUAGUCGCACUCAAAACUGCAGCUCUUGAGUGAAGUAGAGGCAGGCGGAAUUCCUAGUGUAGCGGUGAAAUGCGUAGAUAUUAGGAGGAACACCAGUGGCGAAGGCGGCCUGCUGGGCUGUUACUGACGCUGAGGCUCGAAAGUGUGGGGAGCAAACAGGAUUAGAUACCCCAGUAGUC